rnacentral:tRNA from 1 species
GCAGUGGUGGUUCAGUGGUAGAAUUCUCAGCUCCCAUGUGGGAAACUCAGGUUCAAUUCCCAGCCAACGCA